UACGUAGGGGGCAAGCGUUGUCCGGAUUUAUUGGGCGUAAAGAGCGUGUAGGCGGUUAGGUAGGUCCGUUGUGAAAACUCGGGGCUCAACCUCGAGACGCCGAUGGAAACCAUCUGACUAGAGUCCGGAAGAGGAGAGUGGAAUUCCUGGUGUAGCGGUGAAAUGCGCAGAUAUCAGGAAGAACACCCGUGGCUAAGGCGGCUCUCUAGUACGGUACUGACGCUGAGACGCGAAAGCGUGGGGAGCGAACAGG
rnacentral:rRNA from 1 species